AUAUCAUUGUCCCUUUGACCUGAAGCGAUAGCAUUGUCCCUUUGACCUGAAGCGGUAGCGAGGUCCCUUUGACCUGAAGCGAUAGCAUUGUCCCUUUGACCUGAAGCGAUAGCGAGGUCCCUUUGACCUGAAGCGAUAGUGGGGUCCCUUUGACCUGAAGUGAUAGCAUUGUCCCUUUGACCUGAAGGGAUAGCAACGUCCCUUUGACCUGAAGCGAUAGCAUGUCCCUUUGACCUGAAGCGAUAGCGUGGUCCCUUUGACCUCAAGCGAUAGCGUGGUCCCUUUGACCUGAAGGGAUAGCAUUGUCCCUUUGACCUGAAGCGAUAGCAUUGCCCCUUUGACCUGAAGCGAUAGCAUGUCCCUUUGACCUGAAGGGAUAGCAUUGUCCCUUUGACCUGAAGGGAAAGCGUUGUCCCUUUGACCUGAAGCGAUAGCGGGGUCCCUUUGACCUGAAGCGAUAGUGUGGUCCCUGGCAUGCGUACAACACUUCCUCUUAUGCAUGACUGAGACACAUUAGAGUAUGGAAUUCAACAUUAAGAGCUGGCCCAUUAACCACUUGCCAUUUCCUCAAAUAUUUUCCAUGGCGGCUCUUUUUCACUGGGAGCACAUAGGUCCAGAGCUAGCAGCAGAGCUCUGGCUCACUGCUGCUUUCCACUACCUUUAGACUAGCGCCACUACAGGGGUCUUUACAACUGGAAGCAGAUGCCUUUCACUCUUCAACCACUGAUUUAAAAGGAUUUGAUAGUUGAAAGCAGUAUGGCUGAAAUCUAUCCAGUCCUUUUACCUAGCAGUGGUCCAAGAAAUGUUACCUUGGCUGGUGUAACCGAUGUAAAAUGGAUAGCUAGUUAGCGGGGUGCGCUCUAAUAGAGUUUCAAACGUUACUCGCUCUGAGACUUGGAGUAGUUAUUCCCCUUGCUCUGCAUGGGUAACGCUGCUUCGAGGGUGGCUGUUGUCGUUGUGUUCCUGGUUCGAGCCCAGGUAGGAGCGAGGAGAGGGACGGAAGCUAUACUGUUACACUGGCAAUACUAUAGUGCCUAUAAGAACAUCCAAUAGUCAAAGGUUAAUGAAAUACAGAUGGUAUAGAGAGAAAUAGUCCUAUAAUUCCUAUAAUAACUACAACCUAAAACUUCUUACCUGGGAAUAUUGAAGACUCAUGUUAAAAGGAACCACCAGCUUUCAUAUGUUCUCAUGUUCUGAGUAAGGAACUUAAACGUUAGCUUUUUUACAUAGCACAUGUAAAAAAACACUUUCUCUCUCUCUCUCUCUCCUCUCUCCAUUUAUCUGUAUGUUACUACCCUUACUCAGUCUCUCUCUCUCUUUCUCUCCCUCCUUCUCUCUCCAUUUCUCUGUAUGUUACUACCCUUACUCAGUCUCUCUCUCUUUCUCUCUCUCUUUCUCUCCCUCCUUCUCUCUCCCGCUCUCCUCCCUCCAUGUAGUCAGGCUGUCGCAAUUUAAAAUACGGUUUAAAUUACAGGACUGGCUGUGGCUUUCCAUCGUUCCGUCAGAGUUUUUGCCAACUCGCAAUUUGCCUAAUGGAAGCCUGCCAUGCUGUUGAACCUAAAGAUUAUUUGCAGAUGUUGACAGGCAAUGACUUUAUGAAAUGUUGGAAAUUGUCGCGUGUGCUUUUUGCAGGAACGGUUGGUUAAGUUGUGUUUGUUUGAGAGAAGUUCUGUUUGCCUUGUUUAAGGAAAUACUAGCUCGCCACGUUGUUGUUGAGUUGACUGUGUGUGUUUGCGCCCUAGAGACAUACGGGGCGGUGUGUGUGUUUGUGUGUGUCUGCUUAUGCGUGUGAUUGCUUUCGUCAGUGUGUGUGUGUGUGUGUGUGUGUGUGUGUGUGUGUGUGUGUGUGUGUGUGUGUGUGUGUGUGUGUGUGUGUGUGUGUGUGUGUGUGUGUGUGUGUGUGUGUGUGUGUGUGUGUGUUCCUGCGCUGCAUGAUGUGAUGGAAAGAGGCUACUUGAGACAUCACGCUGACAGCCAUUUUUCUCAUGCCUGGGCCAGAUGGAUAGGUGGGUGUAGGAGUUUCUCAUGCCUGGGCCAGAUGGAUAGGUGGGUGUAGGAGUUUCUCGUGCCUGGGCCAGAUGGAUAGGUGGGUGUAGGAGUUUCUCAUGCCUGGGCCAGAUGGAUAGGUGGGUGUAGGAGUUUCUCGUGCCUGGGCCAGAUGGAUAGGUGGGUGUAGGAGUUUCUCAUGCCUGGGCCAGAUGGAUAGGUGGGUGUAGGAGUUUCUCAUGCCUGGGCCAGAUGGAUAGGUGGGUGUAGGAGUUUCUCAUGCCUGGGCCAGAUGGAUAGGUGGGUGUAGGAGUUUCUCAUGCCUGGGCCAGAUGGAUAGGUGGGUGUAGGAGUUUCUCAUGCCUGAGACAGAUGGAUAGGUGGGUGUAGGAGUUUCUCAUGCCUGGGCCAGAUGGAUAGGUGGGUGUAGGAGUUUCUCAUGCCUGGGCCAGAUGGAUAGGUGGGUGUAGGAGUUUCUCAUGCCUGGGCCAGAUGGAUAGGUGGGUGUAGGAGUUUCUCAUGCCUGGGCCAGAUGGAUAGGUGGGUGUAGGAGUUUCUCAUGCCUGGGCCAGAUGGAUAGGUGGGUGUAGGAGUUUCUCAUGCCUGAGCCAGAUGGAUAGGUGGGUGUAGGAGUUUCUCAUGCCUGGGCCAGAUGGAUAGGUGGGUGUAGGAGUUUCUCAUGCCUGGGCCAGAUGGAUAGGUGGGUGUAGGAGUUUCUCAUGCCUGGGCCAGAUGGAUAGGUGGGUGUAGGAGUUUCUCAUGCCUGGGCCAUAUGGUUAGGUGGGUAUAGUAGUUAAACAGAGGCUCCUCUCCUCACCACAGCUCCAUUCAGCUCUGACUGUAACUUACUGUGACACCCAGAGCUUUCAAUGAAGGUCGUGUCUCCAAGAGAUUCAUCUGAAACCACAUCCAUUAGUGAGCCUCAUGGACGAUCCUGUAAAGUCGUACUGCACCGACAUUCAUACAGUAUCUUGUCUGUGUCCAGCUCGUUAAUAAUCGCCCAAAUGAAAGAUAAACAGUCAGGGAACAUCGGGAAUUCCCCAAAACGAUGACUGGAGGACUAUGUUUGGCGGCGAGGAAAUAAUACCCAUUUUCAGUGCGGCCCUCCAGACCUUGUUUAAGGCCAAAUGCUGCCCCAGCCUGUCCCUCUACCCAACCCCCCUGGCCCUCAACCUGUCCCCCUGCCCAACCCCCCUGGCCCUCAACCUGUCCCCCUGCCCAACCCCCUGGCCCUCAACC